rnacentral:rRNA from 1 species
AGCAGCCGCGGUAAUUCCAGCUCCAAUAGCGUAUAUUAAAGUUGUUGCAGUUAAAAGCUCGUAGUUGAAUUUCGGGGUUAGUAGGUUGGUCAUGCCUCUGGUAUGUACUGGUCUCACUGAUUCCUCCUUCCUGAUGAACCGUAAUGCCAUUAAUUUGGUGUUGCGGGGAAUUUGGACUGUUACUUUGAAAAAUUAGAGUGUUUAAAGCAAGCUAACGCUUGAAUACAUUAGCAUGGAAUAAUGAAAUAGGACGUUCGAUCCUAUUUUGUUGGUUUCUAGGAUUGACGUAAUGAUUAAUAGGGAUAGUUGGGGGCAUUAGUAUUCAAUUGUCAGAGGUGAAAUUCUUGGAUUUAUUGAAGACUAACUACUGCGAAAGCAUUUGCCAAGGAUGUUUUCAUUAAUCAAGAACGAAAGUUAGGGGAUCGAAGACGAUCAGAUACCGUCGUAGUCUUAACCAUAAACUAUGCCGACUAGGGAUCGGAUGAUGUUAAUUUUUAAUGACUCAUUCGGCGCCUUACGG